rnacentral:rRNA from 1 species
AACCCGUGUGGGGAAGCCGUAGCGAAAGCGAGUCUGAAUAGGGCGAUUGAGUCGCGUGUCCUAGACCCGAAGCGGAGUGAUCUACCCAUGGCCAGGUUGAAGCGCGUGUAAGAGCGCGUGGAGGACCGAACCCACUUCAGUUGAAAAUGGAGGGGAUGAGCUGUGGGUAGGGGUGAAAGGCCAAUCAAACUCCGUGAUAGCUGGUUCUCCCCGAAAUGCAUUUAGGUGCAGCGUCACGUGUUUCUUCCCGGAGGUAGAGCUACKGGAUGGACGAUGGGCCCUACAAGGUUACUGACUUCAGCCAAACUCCGAAUGCCGGGAAGUGAGAGCGUGGCAGUGAGACUGUGGGGGAUAAGCUUCAUAGUCGAGAGGGAAACAGCCCAGACCACCGGUUAAGGCCCCUAAGCGUGUGCUAAGUGGGAAAGGAUGUGGAGUUGCUGAGACAACCAGGAGGUUGGCUUAGAAGCAGCCACCCUUGAAAGAGUGCGUAAUAGCUCACUGGUCAAGUGAUUCCGCGCCGACAAUGUAGCGGGGCUCAAGUACACCGCCGAAACCGUGGCAUUCAGUUUUGCUGGAUGGGUAGGGGAGCGUCGUUCACGAGGUGAAGCCAGCGGGUAACUUCUGGUGGAUUGUGGACGAGUGAGAAUGCAGGCAUGAGUAGCGAAAGACGGGUGAGAAACCCGUCCGCCGGAUGACUAAGGGUUCCAGGGUCAAGCUAAUCUGCCCUGGGUAAGUCGGGACCUAAGGCGAGGCCGACAGGCGUAGUCGAUGGACAACGGGUUGAUAUUCCCGUACCAGUGAAGAACCGCCCAUGMUGAGCCGGUGAUACUAACCGCCCGAACCAUCCCGAUCCUCGUCUUUGACGGGGACGGUGGUGGGGAGCGCGGGACCUGAACCGGGGAGGCAAGCGCAUUAACRGGUGUGACGCAGGAAGGUAGCCGGGCCGGGCAAUGGAAAUGACCUGGUCUAAGGGUGUAGGGCUGCCGGUAGGUAAAUCCGCCGGCUGUAUGCCUGAGACCUGAUGGGCGCCCACRUGGUGGGUGAUCCGGUGAUCCUAUGCUGCCUAGAAAAGCAUCGGCGYGAGGUUCAAACUGCCCGUACCCKAAACCGACACAGGUGGUCAGGUAGAGAAUACUAAGGCGAUCGAGAGAAUCAUGGUUAAGG